rnacentral:lncRNA from 10 species
CCAGGCCUCCAGGGCCUUGACCUGGUGGAUGAGCUUUCCUGGUACAAAGAGCCCAGUGCGGGCUGGAUGUUGAUGUGGAAGGUGCAGAAGAAAGGGGAAGCCGGAGUCAGAGGUCAGAUCAGGCAGCCCCGGGUCUCCCACAGCUGUGGGCACUGAGAGGAGGGCUCCUCCCUGCCUUGAAAAUGGGUGGCUCAUGGGCAGCUGCCACAGCAUGGACAAAGCAAAAGCUCCACCACAAAGUGGGUUUGAAGUAGAUGAGUGACCGUCUUGUGCAACAGGAACUUUCAGGGUCACACCCAGGUCUUGGCCAGGAACCAGUCUUCAGCUGGGGUCACUGGGCAGGAAGAUGGGGCUGUCUAGGCUGGGUGUCUGAGUGAGCUGGAGUGGGGGCACAGGAGAGGGCAGGCAUUGGGCAGAAACUGGGGAAGGGCAGCCCAUCACCACGUCCAUGGGGCCAGAAUAAGGGAGGAGACCACCCCUCAUAUUGUCUUAUGCCCAAUUUCUGCCUCCAAAGAAAGAAGAAGUAAAAACUAAGGCAGAAAUGAAAUCCACAGGCAGGCAGCCCUGCGCCACACCCCGGGCCUGGUAGUUAAAGAUCAACCCCUAAUCUAAUCGGUUAUGUUAUCUGUAGAUUACAGACAUUGUAUAGAAAAGCACUGUGAAAAUCCCUGUCCUGUUCUGUUCCGUUCUAAUUGCCAGUGCAUGCAGCCCCCAGUCACAUACCCCCUGCUUGCUCAAUUGAUCACGACCCUCUCAAGCAGACCCC